ACGAAGGGGGCUAGCGUUGUUCGGAAUUACUGGGCGUAAAGCGCACGUAGGCGGGUCGUUAAGUCAGGGGUGAAAUCCCGGAGCUCAACUCCGGAACUGCCUUUGAUACUGGCGAUCUUGAGAUCGGAAGAGGUGAGUGGAAUUCCCAGUGUAGAGGUGAAAUUCGUAGAUAUUGGGAAGAACACCAGUGGCGAAGGCGGCUCACUGGUCCGAUACUGACGCUGAGGUGCGAAAGCGUGGGGAGCAAACAG
rnacentral:rRNA from 1 species